AACCAAUGAUGAGACUAGAUUCUGCCAGAUGANACUUUAUGAUAUUAAUCUUAUUCCGUUCCAUUUACUGAGGUU
rnacentral:snoRNA from 1 species